rnacentral:rRNA from 1 species
CGGGAGGCUUAAUACAUGCAAGUCGAGCGGGAUUCUCCUUCGGGAGAUGAGAGCGGCGCACGGGUGAGUAACGCGUGAGUAAUCUGCCCUUGAGUGGGGAAUAACGAUCCGAAAGGGUCGCUAAUACCGCAUAAGUCAGUUUGAGCUGAGGCUUAGACUGGGAAAGGUGGGGAUCGAAAGACCUGCCGCUGAAGGAUGAGCUCGCGUAUCAUUAGGUAGUUGGUGAGGUAAAGGCUCACCAAGCCGAAGAUGAUUAGCUGGUCUGAGAGGACGAUCAGCCACACUGGGACUGAGACACGGCCCAGACUCCUACGGGAGGCAGCAGUGGGGAAUAUUGCGCAAUGGAGGAAACUCUGACGCAGCAACGCCGCGUGUGUGAUGAAGGCCCUAUGGGUUGUAAAGCACUGUUGAGGUGGGAAGAGCAGGCGGAAGUUAAUACCUUUCGCUCCGACGGUACCAUCUGAGGAAGCACCGGCCAACUCUGUG